rnacentral:rRNA from 1 species
CCAACAGGGAUUGCCUUAGUAGCGGCGAGUGAACAGGCAAGAGCUCAGAUUUGAAAGCCCUCGGGCAUUGUAUUCUGAAGCCUUGGUCCUGAGAAUCGGUGUUUAAGUCUUCUGGAAAGGAGCGCCAUGGAGGGUGAUAGCCCCGUACGACACCACUCUCAUUGUAGGACUUUGGCAUGGAGUCGAGUUGUUUGGGAAUGCAGCUCAAAUGGGUGGUAUGCUCCAUCUAAAGCUAAAUAUCUGCGAGAGACCGAUAGCGAACAAGUACUGUGAAGGAAAGAUGAAAAGAACUUUGAAAAGAGAGUGAAAAAGUACGUGAAAUUGUUGAAAUGGAAGGAUAGGCCGCUAACCAUGUAGGGUCGUGUUCGAGGGGAAGAUAAAAGCUGAAGAAUGUAGCUCCUCGGAGUGUUAUAGCUUCAGUCCAUAUUCCCUCUCGAGCGCGAGGAUUGAAGACUCUGCUAAAUGGUGGUCUAUCAC